UAGAGUUUGAUCCUGGCUCAGAUUGAACGCUGGCGGCAUGCCUUACACAUGCAAGNUCGAACGGGCAGCGCGGGNAGCAAUCCAUGGGCGGCNGAGUGGGCGAACSGGUGAGUAAUAUAUCKGAACGUUGCCCAGGUAGUGNNGGNGAUANNCCCNGCGCAAAAGCCCGGNAUUANAUACCGCAUGCGNACCUGAGGGUGAAAGCGGGGGAUCGCAAGACCUCGCGCUACUGGAGCGGCCGAUAUCAGAUUAGCUAGUUGGUGGGGUAAAGGCCUACCAAGGCAACGAUCUGUAGUUGGUCUGAGAGGACGACCAGCCACACUGGGACUGAGACACGGCCCAGACUCCUACGGGAGGCAGCAGUGGGGAAUUUUGGACAAUGGGCGCAAGCCUGAUCCAGCAAUGCCGCGUGCAGGAAGAAGGCCUUCGGGUUGUAAACUGCUUUUGUCAGGGAAGAAAUCUUCUGGGCUAAUACCCCGGGAGGAUGACGGUACCUGAAGAAUAAGCACCGGCUAACUACGUGCCAGCAGCCGCGGUAAUACGUAGGGUGCGAGCGUUAAUCGGAAUUACUGGGCGUAAAGCGUGCGCAGGCGGCUUUGCAAGACAGAGGUGAAAUCCCCGGGCUCAACCUGGGAACUGCCUUUGUGACUGCAAGGCUAGAGUACGGCAGAGGGGGAUGGAAUUCCGCGUGUAGCAGUGAAAUGCGUAGGUAUGCGGAGGAACACCGAUGGCGAAGGCAAUCCCCUGGGCCUGUACUACGCUCUGCACRAAGGNG
rnacentral:rRNA from 1 species